GUAUAAUAUAUUUGUUUCAUGCAUUCAAUAUUUAUGAGAUUGUGAAAAUCAUAUAGACAUUAAGCAAAAAAAAAAAAAAAAGGAAAGCCGACUGAUAAAAAGCACAGCAAUCCCCAAAUCUAAAUGUCUACAAUAUGUGCACAGAUUGGAGAAAUGAUCAAGAUUGGACAAGCGUGCACAUGCCCAGAGGCCAGCAACAACCUGUUCAAUUUUAUUCGAUAAUGAUCCUUCCGCAGGUUCACCUACGGAAA
rnacentral:misc_RNA from 1 species